rnacentral:rRNA from 1 species
GUCCACGCCGUAAACGAUGAGUGCUAGGCGUUGGGGGUAUUGACCCCUCCAGUGCCGCAGCUAACGCGUUAAGCACUCCGCCUGGGGAGUACGGCCGCAAGGCUAAAACUCAAAGGAAUUGACGGGGGCCCCGCACAAGCGGUGGAGCAUGUGGUUUAAUUCGACGCAACGCGAAGAACCUUACCUGGGUUAAAUCCACCGGAAUCCUUAGGAGACUAGGGAGUGCCCUUCGGGGAACCGGUGAGAAGGUGCUGCAUGGCUGUCGU